rnacentral:rRNA from 1 species
AUUGAACGCUGGCGGCAUGCCUUACACAUGCAAGUCGAACGGUAACAGGUCUUCGGAUGCUGACGAGUGGCGAACGGGUGCGUAAUACAUCGGAACGUGCCCGAUCGUGGGGGAUAACGGAGCGAAAGCUUUGCUAAUACCGCAUACGAUCUACAGAUGAAAGCAGGGGACCGCAAGGCCUUGCGCGGACGGAGCGGCCGAUGGCAGAUUAGGUAGUUGGUGGGAUAAAAGCUUACCAAGCCGACGAUCUGUAGCUGGUCUGAGAGGACGACCAGCCACACUGGGACUGAGACACGGCCCAGACUCCUACGGGAGGCAGCAGUGGGGAAUUUUGGACAAUGGGCGAAAGCCUGAUCCAGCCAUGCCGCGUGCAGGAUGAAGGCCUUCGGGUUGUAAACUGCUUUUGUACGGAACGAAAAGACUCUUUCUAAUAAAGAGGGUCCAUGACGGUACCGUAAGAAUAAGCACCGGCUAACUACGUG